CACAGACUCACACACACACAGACUCACACACACAGACUCACACACACACAGACUCACACCACCUCACCGCUCCUCACCUUCGCCAGAUGCUCUCCCCGCCUCUCCAACGGACAAACUGCCAGGGGGAAGCGCGUGGCUCGAGACGAGGGGGCGGUACCAUGAGACCACGCCCACUGCGACGUAAACAGCCCUGAGCCCCUCCCCCCACCGGAGCUCCUCCCCCCCAUGGCCACACCCCCUCGCCCCACCCCUUUACCCCCCUCACCCCGCCCCCUCUCCCCGCCCCUCCCCCCGCUGCUUCUUCCGCUGAGGCCGGGGCGAGUGGAGGCGGCGCUGUGCAUUGUGGGUGGCGAGCGGCCGAUUUGGAUUCCCGCUCACGGCCACCGUCGGUGGCUCGCGAGCUUCUGAAGCGGCGGCUCGCUGGCUGGGCCACCUCUACGUCGACUCAGCCCGAAGAAGGCGAGAAGCUUGCACGCACAACAACACGAAGCAGGAAGAGGAAGGUUUGUCUCCCAAGCCGAGCGCUUCCGGGUCCACCUUCAAGAUCCUCCCUCUGCCCCGGCCCCCACACCCCCCUCGCCCCCUCGCCUUCCCCCGCAGCUACUUCCGCUGAGGCCGGGGCGAGUGGAGGCGGUGCUGUGGAUUGUGGGUGGCGAGAGGCUGAUUUGGAAUCCCUCUCACGGUCACCGUCGGUGGCUCACGAGCUUCUGAAGUGGCGGCUCGCUGGCUGGGCCUCCUCUACAUCGACUCAGCCAGAAGAAGGUGGUGCAGGUUCAGGAGUUUACUGGCUGUACUCCGACCUUUGGCCUUGGCUGUCGCCCAAGUGGGAUUGUCACACAGCAGUCAACCCAUAGCAUCAGUAUCUGUCCCAUGACCUCCUCUUGCACCUAGCCUGGCACAGCAGUCAACC